rnacentral:lncRNA from 1 species
CUUUUUUAAUACUUUUUAUUCUGGAUUACAAAAAAUAUGACCAGAAAAACCUUAAAUGAUCGUCGAUUUAUCCAAAAGUUUUAAAGUUACACAUAGGAAGUAGUGCUUAUUAAGAAUCCUUGUGUAGUUCAUUAUGACUUGUGCUUUAAGCUAAGAUGUCAAAGAACAAUUGUAUGAAAUAUUUAAUCGCCGAAAAUCUCUUAAGACAAGUAGUUUAGAUUUUCCAAAUGACAAAAGUCGUAGGAAUAUUGUUUGUCAUCAAUACGUAGUACAACUACGUCAGUAGUCUAUUAUAUAAUAAGUUCAACUGUUCAUGCUGUUGGCGGCAAUUUCAAAUUAGAAAAAGAAAUUUUCGUAGCUUUUCAAUUUGGAGGCAGGUGUGCAAAUUAGCGGUGGUCCGAGGUCCGCGACCUUCCACUUUUGAAAGCGGAAUUUCGACUAGGAUAGUUGGUUUCUAGCUACACCCGACGUAGUCCCCUUCCACUUAAAGGAAAAUAAAAAAUUACUUUGCAAACCUUUUCACCAUGUUCACCAAAGUCUCCAAUUAAACGAGC